AUGGAGCCAACCGGAGGAAGGGUAGGAAGAGACAGCAUGGAUGCAGGUGGAUGUGGGCGCCAGGGCCGCCACCAAGGAUGUAGGGGUCGUGCCACAAUGGGCAAGGAUGCGUUAGGCACGCCGAAACUGACGAGGACACGGAAUGAUUGCAGAGCGAGCGGGCAACCAGGCAGCGCGGGUAGAGCGCUUGGAGCAGGCGUGCACCCAGCUCUUGUAAAUGGGCCGGCCCAAAACGAUCAGGCGCAUACAACGCAGAUUAGGAGCUCCCCAACGUAUCACCCUAAAAAGGAAGAAAAAAUAGAAAUAAUGACGGCGCCGCCACCGGCCUUCUAUCCGACGCCCGCGUAUGUGCACGCCAUGCGCGUCGAGGGCGCUCACAUCAAUCUCCCCGUCCGCCUCGCCAUGAACGGCGCCAACUACACUGUCUGGCGGGGGAUGAUGCUGGACGUCAUCGAUCAGUAUGACGUCGCCUCAUGGAUCGCGCCGGACUUCGCCGACCACGCCGGCGACGCGAGCUGGAACAUCGUCAACAAGGCCAUGAAGCGGUGGUUCCUCGGCGUGAUGGUGACGGAGCUCGCCGCCUUCAUGCUCGACCGGGAAGCCACCGCCGCCCAGACCUGGGCCUCCGUCGAGGCUCUCUUCGUCAACAACCGUCGGACGCGACGGUUCCAGCUCCAGACGGAGCUCUCUGAAACUCGUCAAGGGGACUCCUCCGUUUCCAUCUUCUGCGCUCGCCUCAAGUCCAUCUCCGACCAGCUGCGCGACGCCGGCAAGAUCCUGGAUGAUGACGAGUUGGUCAUCCAACUUCUACGCGGCAUCAACAAAGAUCGUCAUCAGACUACUGCCAAAAUUAUAGAGAAGUCCCCAGCUCCCAUCCCUUUUGACGUUGCCGUCGGCAUGCUUCUGCACGACGAGAUCGGCAACAACUUCGCCGGCUCCACCCAUCACACCGCCCUCGCUGUCCAGCCGAGGGGUCCGUCGCCCGCGCCCUCGAUUGGGGCCUCCGGCGGCCAGGCUCGGCCGCCCGCUGCUGGUCUCGGCGGCGGCAAAGCCUCCUCUCCCUCACCCAACCAGGGACACAACAAACGCCGCCGCUACACCAACAAUGGCGGGUAUCAGGGGGCCGCGGCUGCACCGCCGUGGACGGGGCACGUCUACGCCUACCCAAUGGCACUCCCACCUCAACCUCGUCCGGCGCCCGGGAUCCUUGGUCCGCGGCCGCCGCACGCCUACGCCGCCUUCGGCGGCCACCUCCAGCAGCCGUCUCCGAUGGGCUACCCUCCACUGCAGCAGUACCUGCCGGCGGCGCCUCCUCCUCAUCAGCAGUUCCUGCCGGCGCCACAUCUUCCGCAGCAGUACCAGGCGCAGCAGCACCAGGCGCAGCCGUACUUCCACCCGCCCGCGGCCGCCGUCUCCAACGCCGUCGAUCCAGUCGAUCCAGUCGCCCAGCGGUGGCUAGGUUGCGGACUCCGGCGCCUCCUCUCAUCUAGCGGCUGA
rnacentral:rRNA from 1 species